GCUGUCCUGGUCACUCUGUAGACCAGGCUGGCUUCAAAUUCAGAAAUCCGCCUGCCUCUGCCUCCCAAGUGCUGUCUGUUUUUGUUUUUAAUAUCGAGAAUUUUCUUUCUGACACAGAGUUUCAUGUACCUGGAUUUCUCAGUGUGUGGCCAAGGACGACCUUGAACUUCUGACCCUCCUGCACCCACCUCUGGAGUGCUAGGAUUCCAGGACAGAGCUCCAUGCCUACUGUAGUGAGCCUUCCUCAGCCCCCCUUUCUCUUCUCCACUUUCUCUACCACAUUCGCUUAGCUUCUUCCCAUCUCUGCCCCUGCACCCCACCCCAUCCCACCUUUGCUGGGACACCUUCUCUGCUCUUCUUUCCACUUAGAAGCCUCUAGAACAGUUGGAGGUGCUGCCCUCUGGGUUUCAAUCCAGGUGGAGCACAAUGGGGUUUUAGGAAGUCCAGGGCAAGGUGAGGCAGGCUGGAAGGGCGCUGGCCAUGGGAUUGCUAGGAGGAGGUGCUCAUGUUCACGUCCACCUUGCUUCUGAGCAAAGUCGUUGGGUGGGUCAGUAGAGAACUAGUGUCAGGACAUGGUCGGAGGAUGGAGUCCUGUGAGGGGACUUCUGUGUGCUUGUGACAAAACUGCAAGAAAACAAGUUCUGUUUCUUCAAAACUCAGAGUUGUUCUUGGAAUGUGUUUUAAAGCUCAUCCUAGGUGUAGCAUAUAGAGGGAGUUUACUUAAAAUGAUUCAUUGCAGCUGUCUGAUGCGCUGAAUAAAGUUGGCUGUUGCAGGAGACCUCAGUCCACCCUAUUUUUAAGCUCCCUUCUCCCUGCUCUUGUUUCCUCUAGAGUGGGAAAUAGAUUAGGACUUGAUUGAAGCGGUUGCCAUGGUGAUGUGGAGACAGUUAUCUCUCUAUAAUGACCUUGUUGGGAAAACCCUGGGCAAUCUGAUCUAUUCACGACACAAGUCUAAAGAAGUGUUAAAUUCCUCAGAUAGAGGACAGCGGGGUGGGACUCUGCCCAGGGACCAAUUUUUUGCUCAUUUAAACUAAAAAGUGUGUUUUCCCUUCCUGUUUCUUGUGCUGCUCCAUUGGUCCAGAGUCUAGCGAAGACAAUGUUACGCUUGGAAAGAAAAUGACCAUUCCAAGGUGACAAGAAGAAGCCAUAGCCGGGUCUAGUACUAGAUCUGGCCUCCCUGACUCUAACUCCUGCUCUCACUCACUGCUGCACACGCAUUUGUUCCUUCACUGAAGAAAUGACCCCAUGGCCCCUAUAGGCUCUGCUUAGGCGACCCAUGAUUAGCAUGACGACCACUAAGGUCCCCCCCGAGAGCUGCGCUGUGGUAAAGACCACCUUGCCCUCCCCUCUUUUAGACAAAACAUCUUCGUUUCUUUCCCCCAAAGGACAAUAUAAAGGGGGGUAGGCUUAUUCUGGUUCACAGUUCAAGGCCAUUGUGGGCCUCGAAGUCAAAGUGGCCAGCCUGAAGCAUCAGGUCACAUCACAUGUGCAGUCGGGAAGCAAGGAGCAAA